rnacentral:rRNA from 1 species
GACGAACGCUGGCGGCGUGCUUAACACAUGCAAGUCGAACGGAAAGGCCCUGCUUUUGUGGGGUGCUCGAGUGGCGAACGGGUGAGUAACACGUGAGUAACCUGCCCUUGACUUUGGGAUAACUUCAGGAAACUGGGGCUAAUACCGGAUAGGAGCUCCUGCUGCAUGGUGGGGGUUGGAAAGUUUCGGCGGUUGGGGAUGGACUCGCGGCUUAUCAGCUUGUUGGUGGGGGAGUGGCUUACCAAGGCUUUGACGGGUAGCCGGCCUGGGAGGGGGACCGGCCACAUUGGGACUGAGAUACGGCCCAUACUCCUACGGGAGGCAGCAGUGGGGAAUAUUGCACAAUGGGCGGAAGCCUGAUGCAGCAACGCCGCGUGCGGGAUGACGGCCUUCGGGUUGUAAACCGCUUUCGCCUGUGACGAAGCGUGAGUGACGGUAAUGGGUAAAGAAGCACCGGCUAACUACGUGCCAGCAGCCGCAGUAACAC